ACGGAGGAUGCAAGCGUUAUCCGGAAUGAUUGGGCGUAAAGCGUCCGCAGGUGGCGGUUCAAGUCGGCGGUCAAAGACCGAAGCUCAACUUUGGAAAGGCCGUGGAAACUGAACAGCUAGAGUGCGGUAGGGGCAGAGGGAAUUCCCGGUGUAGCGGUGAAAUGCGUAGAUAUCGGGAAGAACACCGGUGGCGAAAGCGCUCUGCUGGGCCGCAACUGACACUCAGGGACGAAAGCUAGGGGAGCGAAUGGGA
rnacentral:rRNA from 1 species